AGCGGUGGAUGCAGGUACCGCCAAUAGUCUAUCUAUCCCGGUGAGUGAGGAGACCUGCUUUGAGGGUUGCACAACCUGGAUCUGCUUUUACAGUGGUGUCUAUCACUAUGAAGACUCCACCAUGGGUCGCCAUCAGGUCAGGGACCCUGACAAGGCAAGAACUGCAUCUUCCUCUGCACACAGCUCUGCUCCCUUCCCCGCCAUGCCUAACACCAAGCCCAGCCCUGAGGGAUGACUCAGGAAUAUUACUGAGAGCGUUUUAGGCCAUUCCUUCAUUAUCCCCAUGUGACUUGUUAUGAAAUAUAGACUGACUUCCUGAAGAUCAGCACAUAGUGCUAAGUAUUUGGCUUGUAAUCUGUAGAGACUCUGCCAUUUGGAGCUGGGAUCUGUCCCCAGAGCUGUCAGACACCAAAUCCCGUAUCUACUGCCACCCAAAGGGACCUCCAGAAGAAAGGGGUUAUACAGGGUCAAACACCAAGGCAGGUUAGUGAAAUUUCUCUAGAGGCCAUUUAAAGCUGGAGUCUCACCACCUGAAUUGCCCUCAGAGGAAGGCUGUCUAGGGCACAAACCUAGUCAGGGGUCCACAUGGACUUAAGGACAAUUUUUUUUUUUUUUUUUUUUUUGAGAAACUCUCAUUCUGUCAUCAAGGCUCGAGUACAGUGGUGUGAACUCAGCUCACUGCAAGUCUCAACCUCCUGGGCUCAGCUCCUAAGACACACUAGCCACAUAUCAAGUGCUCAACUGCCCCGUGUGGCUAAUGGCUUCCAAACUGGCAGCACAGGCAACUGUUUUCAUCACUGAAGUUCUGUUGGACAAGAAUACCUCUGGAAGCACACACGAGAAACUGGUAAUGGCGGUUGCCUUCGGGGAGGGAAACUGGGAGAGUGCAGGGCUGUAUGCCCUUUUGUACCUCUUGAAUUUCAUAUCAUGUGUUUGUACUAGGUGUUUACAAAUUAUUUUAAAAACAUACUGGGAAUUAGGAAUCCCCGUAUGGAAUCACUGCAGUGGGACACUGAUUCCCAAAAAAUUACUUUGCAAUUUGCCUAAAACAAAUUAAGCUAAUAGCUAUCAUGAUUUCAUAUUUAAUAUUUUUUCCCAGCUUAGAGUUUUUUUUAGCUCCUGUUGCUAUCUCUCUGCUCUUAUGAGCUCACAGGGUGACAAAGUGAAUUAGUAAGUAGCAGGAGAACAUUAAAGGAAAAACUCCUGGGCAACAGGGUAAAACGCCGGCUCUACAGAAAAUACAAAACAUUAGCCAGGCAUGGUGGCAUGCACCUAUGGUCUUAGCGACUUGGGAGGCUGAGGUGGGAGGAUCGCUUGAGCCCGGAAGGCGGUAACUCAAUCCCAGCAGAAUCCCAGGGAGCGAAAGUGGCUCAUCCCAAA
rnacentral:lncRNA from 1 species